rnacentral:rRNA from 1 species
GGUGAGUAAUAUAUAGGUAAUAUGCCUUUUGGUUUGGAAUAACCCCGCGAAAGCGGGGCUAAUACCGAAUGAUGCAGCGGCUCCGCAUGGAGAUGUUGUUAAAGCUUCGGCGCCAAAAGAUUAACCUGUAUCCCAUUAGAUAGUUGGCGAGGUAACGGCUCACCAAGUCUGCGAUGGGUAGCUGAUCUGAGAGGAUGAUCAGCCACACUGGAACUGAGACACGGUCCAGACUCCUACGGGAGGCAGCAGUGAGGAAUAUUGCGCAAUGGAGGAAACUCUGACGCAGCGACGCCGCGUGAAGGAUGAAGGCCCUCUGGGUUGUAAACUUCUGUAGAGAGGGAAGAAUUUUUCGCUUCGCGAAAUUGACGGUACCUCUAAAGUAAGGGUCGGCUAACUACGUGCCAGCAGCCGCGGUAAUACGUAGGACCCAAGCGUUGUCCGGAUUUACUGGGUGUAAAGGGAGCGCAGGCGGAUUUUCAAGUCGAUGGUGAAAUCUUGCGGCUCAACCGCAAAACAGCCGUCGAUACUGUUAAUCUUGAGUGUGGAAGAGAGUGGCGGAAUUCAUGGUGUAGCAGUGAAAUGCGUAGAUAUCAUGAAGAACACCGGUUGCGAAGGCGGCCACUUAGUCCAUUACUGACGCUCAUGCUCGAAAGCGUGGGGAUCAAACAGGAUUAGAUACCCUGUAGUCCACGCCCUAAACGAUGAAUACUCGGUGUCGGGUCGCAAGAUUCGGCGCCUAAGCAAACGCAUUAAGUAUUCCACCUGGGAAGUACGAUCG